GUCCCCAUCGUCUAGCCUGGUCCAGGACAUCGCCCUUUCACGGCGGUAACAGGGGUUCGAAUCCCCUUGGGGACG
rnacentral:tRNA from 1 species